AGAGAUUUCAGCGGUGCGUUAAUGUUGAGACUAGCACGUCGGGUGUUCUUCUUGGCAGGGCAUCCUGGAAGGCUCCCCUAAUUGUUGCCUUCUCUUUUUUUGCUUCCAGAGUGAACUGCUGGAAACCUUGGGCCAUCCUGCCUCUGCCCCACUCCCGACCUGCUUCUGCCCAGCAGUGUGACUGGGAAGGGCCAGUCACUACUGGGAAGGACAGCAGAGCUCUUCUGGCUGCUUGGAGCAAGGUGAAGGAUCUCAGAGAAGGUGCAGGCAUAAUCUGUGCUUUGUUAGCACAGCCACCAAGGACCUAAUUUGAAAGAGGCUGCAGUUCAGCGGCAGGAGGGAUUUAAACACUGUUAAGACUGACAUUUUCCCUCAUCUUACAUCCCGUGGGGUACCUGAUUGCAAAUUUAUAAUACACCAGAGGUCUCGCCAUCAGAAGAUACAGACUUACAGUAACAGCGACUAAUUUAAAAAAGAUCUCCAGCGCAUCAGUGUCUGGGGCUGGUUUACACAGACUAAUUAAUCCUUAUUUGACCUGAAUUAACUCUUAAUCUGUGUGAAAUGAAAGAGCUUUACUGGGAUACAGCAAAUUUUAAAAGAUGGAAAAUCCAUUCAGAACAGGAGGUUUCUGCAGCUGGGUGACUCGUGGAUUAAAAUACUUGCUGGCUGCUGGUGUGGAAAAUUAGCUCGCUCUUUUUCCUUUUUCCUUUUUCCUUUUUCCUUUUUCCUUUUUCCUUUUUCCUUUUUCCUUUUUCCUUUUUCCUUUUUCCUUUUUCCUUUUUCCUUUNNNNNNNNNNNNNNNNNNNNNNNNNNNNNNNNNNNUUCCUUUUUCCUUUUUCCUUUUUCCUUUUUCCUUUUUCCUUUUUCCUUUUUCCUUUUUCCUUUUUCCUUUUUCCUUUUUCCUUUUUCCUUUUUCCCUAUUUCCACCCCUCUUUUACUAACCAGCAAAUACAUGAAAGGGGCAGAAGACUUUUUGCCACCAGCUGUUGUCCCUUGGACGAGAGCCCUGGCCUUGCAAUUCACUCAGCAGUUGUGCUCCAGACGUGUGUGCACCUUUGCAAGGGGGAGAGGAAAGGGACGUUGUCAACACCUGUGUCAGCACAACAUCAAAUCAGAUUACAACAGACACUAAAAGCCAUAACCUGAGCAGAAUAACUCUCUUCUGGGCACAUCUGUGAGCAGCAUCGAUGCUCUCAAAAUAUUUCGCUGGUGCAGCAUCACCUGCUUAAUGACAGGGUGUUUUACAAGCCUCUAAACUCCCCUGUGUAUUCAAGCUUCCUGCAUGAAGGCCAGGCUGGGCACUAGUGAGUUUCAGCCAUUGCAUUUCUGCAGACCUUUUGCACUGCACAAAGCUUGUGUGGGCUCUUGGUGCUGCUGCUCUUUGCUCCGUUGGGUGAUGCCCUGCUCUGCAGCCCCACUGGGCCAUCGCAGAGAUGAAUAACAGCUGUUUGCUCGGGUGGUAGAAAAGGAGGAAUCACUCAGGGUGGGAU
rnacentral:lncRNA from 1 species